rnacentral:rRNA from 1 species
GAUGAACGCAGGCGGUAUGCUUAACACAUGCAAGUCGAACGGACUCUUCGGAGUUAGUGGCGGACGGGUGAGUAACGCGUGAGAAUCUGGCUUUGGGUUCGGGACAACCACUGGAAACGGUGGCUAAUACCGGAUGUGCCGAGAGGUAAAAGAGAAAUUGCCUGAAGAUGAGCUCGCGUCUGAUUAGCUAGUUGGUGAGGUAAAGGCUCACCAAGGCAGCGAUCAGUAGCUGGUCUGAGAGGAUGACCAGCCACACUGGGACUGAGACACGGCCCAGACUCCUACGGGAGGCAGCAGUGGGGAAUUUUCCGCAAUGGGCGAAAGCCUGACGGAGCAAUACCGCGUGAGGGAAGAAGGCUCUUGGGUUGUAAACCUCUUUUCUUAGGGAAGAACAAAAUGACGGUACCUAAGGAAUCAGCAUCGGCUAACUCCGUG